AAUUGAUCUGGUUCAGGACGAACGCUGGCGGCGUGCUUAACACAUGCAAGUCGAACGGGAGUAUUGAAGAAGCUUGCUUUAGAGAUACUUUAGUGGCGGACGGGUGAGUAACGCGUGAGGAGCUGUCCUAUGCAGGGGGACAACAGCUGGAAACGGCUGCUAAUACCCCAUAAGCCGAGAGGUAAAAGGAUCAAUCCGGCAGAGGAGGUACUCGCGUCCUAUCAGCUAGUAGGUGAGGUAACGGCUCACCUAGGCGAAGACGGGUAGCCGGCCUGAGAGGGCGAACGGCCACACUGGAACUGAGAUACGGUCCAGACUCCUACGGGAGGCAGCAGUGGGGAAUAUUGGGCAAUGGGGGAAAAACCCCCUGACCCAGCGACGCCGCGUGGGUGAAGAAAUCCUUCGGGAUGUAAAGCCCUGUUGUAUGGGAAGAGCGGAAGACGGUACCAUACGAGGAAGCCCCGGCAAACUACGUGCCAGCCGCCGC
rnacentral:rRNA from 1 species